AUCUCUGAUGAUGUUUAUGUGAAAAAUUUCGUUCUCCUGAGUCAGUCAAUGCUGAAAAUUACUGGAGACCUGAGCUGAAGAGUU
rfam:Vitis vinifera, whole genome shotgun sequence of line PN40024, unoriented chromosome 1, chr1